rnacentral:rRNA from 1 species
CAGUGUAGGCGAACGGUGCUUGAAGGGCCGGCCGUAGACGGGUGUGAGUCCCGUAGCCGUAACGCUGGUCUGCCGUCCUUGCCCGGUGUCCCCAAGUAGCACGGGGGCCCCGAGGAAUCCCGUGCGAAUCUGUCAGGACCACCUGAUAAGCCUGAAUACUACCCGAUGACCGAUAGCGGACAAGUACCGUGAGGGAAAGGUGAAAAGUACCCCGGGAGGGGAGUGAAACAGUACCUGAAACCGUGCGCCUACAAACCGUCAGAGCCGGCCCCGUCGGGGGUGCGGUGAUGGCGUGCCUUUUGAAGAAUGAGCCUGCGAGUCAGUGCCACGUCGCGAGGUUAACCCGUGUGGGGGAGCCGUAGCGAAAGCGAGUCUGAACAGGGCGUUCAGUGGCGUGGUCUGGACCCGAAGCGGAGUGAUCUACCCAUGGCCAGGUUGAAGCGACGGUAAGACGUCGUGGAGGACCGAACCCACUUCAGUUGAAAAUGGAGGGGAUGAGCUGUGGGUAGGGGUGAAAGGCCAAUCAAACUCCGUGAUAGCUGGUUCUCCCCGAAAUGCAUUUAGGUGCAGCGUUGCGUGUUUCUUGCCGGAGGUAGAGCUACUGGAUGGCCGAUGGGCCCCACAAGGUUACUGACGUCAGCCAAACUCCGAAUGCCGGUAAGUGAGAGCGCAGCAGUGAGACUGCGGGGGAUAAGCUUCGUAGUCGAGAGGGAAACAGCCCGGACCACCGGCUAAGGCCCCCAAGCGUGUGCUAAGUGGGAAAGGAUGUGGAGUUGCCCAGACAACCAGGAGGUUGGCUUAGAAGCAGCCACCCUUGAAAGAGUGCGUAAUAGCUCACUGGUCAAGUGAUUCCGCGCCGACAAUGUAGCGGGGCUCAAGCACACCGCCGAAGCCGUGGCAGUCCCACGUGCACCCUAGCCUUCGUGGUUCAGGGUGGGGCUGGGUAGGGGAGCGUC